rnacentral:rRNA from 1 species
CCUACGGGUGGCAGCAGUGGGGAAUAUUGGGCAAUGGGCGCAAGCCUGACCCAGCAACGCCGCGUGAAGGAAGAAGGCUUUCGGGUUGUAAACUUCUUUUAAGAGGGAAGAGAAGAAGACGGUACCUCUUGAAUAAGCCACGGCUAACUACGUGCCAGCAGCAGCGGUAAUACGUAGGUGGCAAGCGUUGUACGGAUUUACUGGGUGUAAAGGGCGUGCAGCCGGGCUGACAAGUCAGAUGUGAAAUCCCGCGGCUCAACCGCGGAACUGCAUUUGAAAAUGUCAGUAUUGAGUACCGGAGAGGUCAUCGGAAUUCCUUGUGUAGCGGUGAAAUGCGGAGAAAUAAGGAAGAACACCAGUGGCGAAGGCGGAUGACUGGACGGCAACUGACGGUGAGGCGCGAAAGCGUGGGGAGCAAACAGGAUUAGAUACCCGGGUAGUC